GCGAGUGGCGAACGGGUGAGUAAUACAUCGGAACGUGCCCUGUAGUGGGGGAUAACUAGUCGAAAGACUAGCUAAUACCGCAUACGACCUGAGGGUGAAAGUGGGGGACCGCAAGGCCUCAUGCUAUAGGAGCGGCCGAUGUCUGAUUAGCUAGUUGGUGGGGUAAAGGCCCACCAAGGCGACGAUCAGUAGCUGGUCUGAGAGGACGAUCAGCCACACUGGGACUGAGACACGGCCCAGACUCCUACGGGAGGCAGCAGUGGGGAAUUUUGGACAAUGGGGGCAACCCUGAUCCAUCAAUGCCGCGUGUGUGAAGAAGGCCUUCGGGUUGUAAAGCACUUUUGUCCGGAAAGAAAUCGCACUGGUUAAUACCUGGUGUGGAUGACGGUACCGGAAGAAUAAGGACCGGCUAACUACGUGCCAGCAGCCGCGGUAAUACGUAGGGUCCAAGCGUUAAUCGGAAUUACUGGGCGUAAAGCGUGCGCAGGCGGUUGUGCAAGACCGAUGUGAAAUCCCCGGGCUUAACCUGGGAAUUGCAUUGGUGACUGCACGGCUAGAGUGUGUCAGAGGGAGGUAGAAUUCCACGUGUAGCAGUGAAAUGCGUAGAGAUGUGGAGGAAUACCGAUGGCGAAGGCAGCCUCCUGGGAUAACACUGACGCUCAUGCACGAAAGCGUGGGGAGCAAACAGGAUUAGAUACCCUGGUAGUCCACGCCCUAAACGAUGUCAACUAGUUGUUGGGGAUUCAUUUCCUUAGUAACGUAGCUAACGCGUGAAGUUGACCGCCUGGGGAGUACGGUCGCAAGAUUAAAACUCAAAGGAAUUGACGGGGACCCGCACAAGCGGUGGAUGAUGUGGAUUAAUUCGAUGCAACGCGAAAAACCUUACCUACCCUUGACAUGCCACUAACGAAGCAGAGAUGCAUUAGGUGCUCGAAAGAGAAAGUGGACACAGGUGCUGCAUGGCUGUCGUCAGCUCGUGUCGUGAGAUGUUGGGUUAAGUCCCGCAACGAGCGCAACCCUUGUCUCUAGUUGCUACGAAAGGGCACUCUAGAGAGACUGCCGGUGACAAACCGGAGGAAGGUGGGGAUGACGUCAAGUCCUCAUGGCCCUUAUGGGUAGGGCUUCACACGUCAUACAAUGGUGCAUACAGAGGGUUGCCAAGCCGCGAGGUGGAGCUAAUCCCAGAAAAUGCAUCGUAGUCCGGAUCGUAGUCUGCAACUCGACUACGUGAAGCUGGAAUCGCUAGUAAUCGCGGAUCAGCA
rnacentral:rRNA from 1 species